rnacentral:rRNA from 1 species
AGAGUUUGAUCAUGGCUCAGAUUGAACGCUGGCGGCAUGCCUUACACAUGCAAGUCGAACGGCAGCACGGACUUCGGUCGGGUGGCGAGUGGCGAACGGGUGAGUAAUACAUCGGAACGUGUCCUGGAGUGGGGGAUAGCCCGGCGAACGCCGGAUUAAUACCGCAUACGCUCUGAGGUGGAAAGCGGGGGAUCUUCGGACCUCGCGCUCAAGGGGCGGCCGAUGGCAGAUUAGCUAGUUGGUGGGGUAAAGGCCUACCAAGGCGACGAUCUGUAGCUGGUCUGAGAGGACGACCAGCCACACUGGGACUGAGACACGGCCCAGACUCCUACGGGAGGCAGCAGUGGGGAAUUUUGGACAAUGGGCGCAAGCCUGAUCCAGCAAUGCCGCGUGUGUGAAGAAGGCCUUCGGGUUGUAAAGCACUUUUGUCCGGAAAGAAAACCUCUGCCCUAAUACGGCGGGGGGAUGACGGUACCGGAAGAAUAAGCACCGGCUAACUACGUGCCAGCAGCCGCGGUAAUACGUAGGGUGCAAGCGUUAAUCGGAAUUACUGGGCGUAAAGCGUGCGCAGGCGGUCCGUUAAGACAGAUGUGAAAUCCCCGGGCUUAACCUGGGAACUGCAUUUGUGACUGGCGGACUCGAGUAUGGCAGAGGGGGGUAGAAUUCCACGUAGCAGUGAAAUGCGUAGAGAUGUGGAGGAAUACCGAUGGCGAAGGCAGCCCCCUGGGCCAAUACUGACGCUCAUGCACGAAAGCGUGGGGAGCAAACAGGAUUAGAUACCCUAGUAGUCC